AUUGAACGCUGGCGGCAGGCCUAACACAUGCAAGUCGAACGGUAACAGGAAGAAGCUUGCUUCUUUGCUGACGAGUGGCGGACGGGUGAGUAAUGUCUGGGAAACUGCCUGAUGGAGGGGGAUAACUACUGGAAACGGUAGCUAAUACCGCAUAACGUCGCAAGACCAAAGAGGGGGACCUUCGGGCCUCUUGCCAUCGGAUGUGCCCAGAUGGGAUUAGCUAGUAGGUGGGGUAACGGUUCACCUAGGCGACGAUCCCUAGCUGGUCUGAGAGGAUGACCAGCCACACUGGAACUGAGACACGGUCCAGACUCCUACGGGAGGCAGCAGUGGGGAAUAUUGCACAAUGGGCGCAAGCCUGAUGCAGCCAUGCCGCGUGUAUGAAGAAGGCCUUCGGGUUGUAAAGUACUUUCAGCGGGGAGGAAGGGAGUAAAGUUAAUACCUUUGCUCAUUGACGUUACCCGCAGAAGAAGCACCGGCUAACUCCGUG
rnacentral:rRNA from 1 species